CAGUAGCCGCGGUAAUACGGAGGGUGCAAGCGUUAAUCGGAAUUACUGGGCGUAAAGCGUGCGUAGGCGGUUCGUUAAGUCUGUUGUGAAAGCCCCGGGCUCAUCCUGGGAAUGGCAAUGGAUACUGGCGAGCUAGAGUGUGUCAGAGGAUGGUGGAAUUCCCGGUGUAGCGGUGAAAUGCGUAGAGAUCGGGAGGAACAUCAGUGGCGAAGGCGGCCAUCUGGGACAACACUGACGCUGAGGCACGAAAGCGUGGGGAGCAAACAGGAUUAGAUACCCGCGUAGUCCCUGUCUCUUAUAC
rnacentral:rRNA from 1 species